GUCGGAGAGAACAAAUCAUUUACAAACUGAAAAUGAAGAUAUAUUAUGUUGGAGCACUUGUACUUCUUGGACUCGCUGGGGCCAUGGCAAAUAUUGGAGUAGGAUGGUCUUUUAACAAGAGAAAAUAAACCCGACUCUUUGAUUCAAUACAAUUACGAGGGCGAGUUGAAAAAAAUAUUUUCUAUCAGCUCAUCGCUGGGAGUGUUUCAGACGGUUUUGAUAAAUCUUGUCGUUUUAACGGGAGUUUUAGCAAAGGUCACUUUUGGAUUUAUAAGACUAAAUUGAUAAAAGAAAAUUUCGCGUGCCAAUAAAUUAUUUGUAUUGCGAUAAAAAAGCUCCACUGAAUCCAAAGCUAAGCUUGCUAAAUACCAUGGUGGCUCUACACAAUAUAUUUUAAUGGUAAAAAAGUUGCUUACUGUAAUUCAUUGCACCCGUGAUUUUCUAGAGACUAUAUCGCGUUUCAAAACCUGGAGAAAUAACUCAGCGGAAAAAGACUUAAGUGCAACAAUGAAGUCACAUCGCAAAAAAUGCCUAUUUUGAGCACCUCGACAAAUUAUAUUUUUUUGAAUGCCAAGAAAAUUUGAGAAAUGGUAAUAAAGGUAUAUAGCUAAAAAGAAAUAAUGUUGACAAAUAAAAAGAAAACAAUUUAAA